rnacentral:miRNA from 1 species
AAUACGACAUGCCCAGUUACAUAUGAAUUUCAGAUAAACAAGGAAUAAUUCUUUUUAGUGUUAAGUAUGUCUCAUGCAAUAUUUGGGAUAUACUUAUACUAAAAAAUUAUUUGUUGUUUAUCUGAAAUUCAAAUUUAAUGGGGCAAUCUGUAUUUU